UACGAAGGGUCCGAGCGUUGUCCGGAAUUAUUGGGCGUAAAGGGCUCGUAGGCGGUUUGUCGCGUCGGGAGUGAAAACUCAGGGCUCAACCCUGAGCGUGCUUCCGAUACGGGCAGACUAGAGGUAUGCAGGGGAGAACGGAAUUCCUGGUGUAGCGGUGGAAUGCGCAGAUAUCAGGGAGGGAAACACCCGGGUGGGCGAAAGGGCGGGUUUCUCUUGGGGCAUUUACCCUGACGCUGAGGAGCGAAAAGCGUGGGGUAGCAAAACAGG
rnacentral:rRNA from 1 species